CGACCUCAGGUUAGGCGGGACUACCUGCUAAGUUUAAGCAUAUUAAUAAGUAGAGGAAAUAAAACUUACAAGGAUUCCCCUAGUUAGAGUGAGCAAACAGGAAAGAUCCUAGCUUGAGAAUCAGGCAUCUUCGAUGUUUGAAUUAUAGUCUAAAAAAGCGCCUCAAUGGCGAAACGAGUACAAGUCCCCUUGAAUGGGGCGUCAGAGAGGGUGAGAGCCCCAUUGCCCUCAGACCUUGUCACACCACGAGAUGGUGUCAACAAGUCGGGUUGUUUGGGAAUGCAGCCUCAAUUAGGCGAUAAAUUAUGUCCAAGGCUAAAUAUGGGCAAGAGACCGAUAGAAAACAAGUACCAUGAGGGAAAGAUGAAAACAACUUUGAAAAGAGAGUCAAAUAGUGCUUGAAAUUAUCAGGAGGAAAGCAGAUGGAGGCCAGUUAUGUACCCUAGUCGAAUGUGGAACAGUGACGAGUCGGUUUGCCAAUCGACUUGGGCCAUGGAUCGAUGCGAAUUGAGACAACAGCUUACUCCCAGGCCUUUGUUAUGUUUAUGGAGACGUCAUCGUCCCGAUCAUGGCUGGCAGCACGUGCCUUUUGGCGAGCUUCGACAUUUGUGCACUCCUGGCAUCGGCCUGAAGGCUCCACAUUCGACCCAUCUUAAAACACGGACCAAAGAGUCUUACAUGUGUGCGAGUUAAUGGGCGAGUAAACCCGUGAGGCGCAAGGAAGCUGACUGGUGGGAUCCCUUAGUGGGUUGUACCACCGACCAACCUUGAUCUUCUGAGAAGGGUUCGAGUGUGAGCAUGCUUAUUGAGACCCAAAAAAUGGUAAACUAUGCAUGAGCGGGUCAAAGCUAGAGGAAACUCUGUUGAGGCCCAUAGCGAUACUAACAUGCAAAUUGUUCAUCUGACUUGGGUGUAGGGGUAAAAGUCUAAUUAAACCUUCUAGUAGCUCGUUCCCUCCGAUGUUUUCCUCAGGAUAGUUGGAGCUCGUGGGUGAGUUCUAUCAAAUAAAGCCAAUUAUUAGAGGCAUCGAGGGCGCAAUGCCCUCGACCUAUCAAUGCCCUCGACCUAUUCUCAAACUUUAAAUAGGUAGGACAGGAGAACUAGCAAUGCAAGAUGAAACGGAAGCUGGGUUAUGGUGCAUAACUACGCGCUAACUUGAAGGAAUGGAAUUCUCAAAGCGGAAGCGUAUAAACGUCGUGCAAGUGAAAUUCAAUUUGUAAAACCAAUAAAUUCAAAGAAAAACAAUAAACAAAACUUAAGCAUGCUUCUCAUGGAAGAAAAGGUGAAAAGAAACUAACCUUUGUAGAACCUUAAAGAACUCUUCUUCCAAGCUUUCAAGACACCACAAAAUCUUCCUUGUUAUUCUCCAAGUAAAGAAUCACAGAGAGUUGUGGGGUUCUGUAAUUUUGGUGAGGGAAAAGAAUUUUGAGAGAAUUAUGUUUCCUUUGGAAUACAGAGAGAUCAAUAAGAGCAUGCUUAAAAAAAUCUCUCUUUUUCUUUUAAAAACAAAUCUUAACUAUUAUUGAUAUGGAAGGGGAAAUUAUCAAUAACUUCCUCCCUCUUUCCCAAGUAGAAUAACUCCCAAGGGAGUUAUUCAUUCUAUUUAUUUAAAAAAUAUUAAUUAAAUAAAAUUAAUAUAAAUUUAGUUAAUAUAUAUUAUAUCUCAUAUAAUAUAAACUUUAUAUCAUAUCGUAUAUAAUAUAACCAAUGGUUUAGAUCUCUCAUAUAAUCUAUAGUUCUAAUAUGAAUCGAAUCCAUAUUAAUUUUAACCUAUAGUUUAUUUAUGAAUCUUAUUAUUAUUAUUAUUAGUAUUUGAAUCAUAUUCAAAUAUUAACUUCUCUCAUAAAAACUUUACAUUAUAAUAUAUCAAAUACAUUAUGUUAAUUGUAUCAGAUACAAUUUAUUCCCUUUAAUCAAUUUGAAUAAUUCAAAUUAAACCAAAAUAAAUUUGAUUCUCAUUUAUCCUUAUUGAGCUAACAAGAGGACCUUAUGGACCUACAGAUUGAAGCUCCAAUGAAAUGGGAUUAAUUAAUUAAACUCUUUAAUUAAAUUAAUAUCUAUUCAUUAACUAUUGGUCAUUCCACUAAAGACUAAUAGUUGUACUCUUCUUACUGUAGAUAUAUUUUUAUGCCCAUUAGAUAUAACCAAUCACCAGUGCAAUGACCCUUCACAAAUUGCUCGUAAGUACAGGCCAAAAAUUACCGUUUUGCCCAUGUAAUUACAUCUAACUCAUUAAGUACUACUGAUUCCUCUAAUGAACAAUAAUUGUAGUCCUACUAUAACUGAACUCCUCUCAGGCCAAGAGAGGGUGUGGGGCCACAUUGUUCAAGCCCUGGAGUCAGCCCUUAAGAGAGCAAUUUCUUUACUUACUCUAUCUAUAGAUAAGGAGUGAAUUCCUUCUUGUGUAGUUGUGUUCCCAGCUC
rnacentral:ncRNA from 1 species